UACGAAGGGAGCUAGCGUUGUUCGGAAUCACUGGGCGUAAAGCGCACGUAGGCGGGUUUGUCAGUCAGGGGUGAAAUCCCGGAGCUCAACUCCGGAACUGCCCUUGAUACAGCAAGCCUUGAGUCCGGAAGAGGUAGGUGGAAUUCCUAGUGUAGAGGUGAAAUUCGUAGAUAUUCGCAAGAACACCAGUGGCGAAGGCGGCUCACUGGCCCGGUACUGACGCUGAGGUGCGAAAGCGUGGGGAGCAAACAGGG
rnacentral:rRNA from 1 species